rnacentral:rRNA from 1 species
UACGAAGGGAGCUAGCGUUGUUCGGAAUUACUGGGCGUAAAGGGCGCGUAGGCGGCUUCGAUAGUCAGGCGUGAAAUCCCCAGGCUCAACCUGGGAAUUGCGCUUGAUACUGCGAGGCUUGAGUGAGGGAGAGGAUAGUGGAAUUCCCAGUGUAGAGGUGAAAUUCGUAGAUAUUGGGAAGAACACCAGUGGCGAAGGCGGCUAUCUGGACCUCAACUGACGCUGAGGCGCGAAAGCGUGGGGAGCAAACAGG